CAAUGAUAAUAUUUAAUGUACCAUGAAGCUAGGGUAACAUAAUCAUGUGUAAUUAAGUUCGGUUCAGCCGGAUACAAGAAAAUAAUAUAAUUCUUACUGUUUCCGUAAACAAUAUACAUCAUUUAGACGUUUCAAAACGGAAAAAUACAUGAUACCAACAUUCAAAAACAACAUUAUUUCGGAAGUUAUAGGAGUGUUAACUAUUAUAUCUGACUGAAAUUCAGUCACGGGUGAACAAAUGUUUAUAAUUAUCAACCUGUUACUGAAGAUACGACAUAUUUAUUUAUAUAUGAUGAAUUCAAGAAAAACUUGGAUACAUUAAAUCAAACAAAGAACGAUAUUGCAAAAGCGUAAAUACACAAAUAAGCAGAAUGGGAGAUUCCUGCAGUGGAAGAAUAUGGGUUGGUGUCGCUUUCACUUUUAUUACUACAACCUUCGUAUUGGUAGGGAUCAUUUGUUAUAGAGAGUUUAUAUUUCAUAAAGAAACGAAAGACACAAGAAUUACACGUGAGAAUCUAAUCAAAUUUUACCCGUCAAUAUUUAGUAUAAACAGUGAAAAGUACGUAGAGAUUUUACUCGAUGGUGCAAGAAAACGUACUCCGACGACAGAUAGAUUCAAGACCGAAUAUGAAUGUAAUUUCAACUGCACAAACAAAUUGGAGGGACAAGGCAGGAAAAAACGUCAAUUGUCCUAUGUACACAACCAUGCCUGCUGCCAAUCAUUUCCUGUACAUAUAGCUCCUCCUUUUUGGAACAGUUUAUAUAACGGAUUGAGAGAGAUAGUACAGUUUAAUGACACGCAGUUGGGGUAUCCAUUGCUUCAAAUUUUCUUCCAGGAACAAUGCAGUCAAGCUAUUGGAUGUACUGGGUGUACCUGUGAAUAUGUUGAACAGGCGACUACAGCAGUUGUUUAUAAAGUUGGUUACAGCUCAGCGACAGCUACAGAUAUGUCACACCUUGAGAUAGACCUGUUUUAUUUACAUGGAUGUUGCAAAUGUUUUAACUUGAAUCAAACUUAAAGGCGUUUGCUUUGGAAACUAAAAAAACAAAAAAACAAUUUUUGAUCGAUAACGUGUUAACUACAAAGGUAGAGCAUACAUGCCAUAGUGCUAAGGAGAUAACUGUACUGUAUUUGAAGCGAAGCCUACGUUUAACAUUGUUUACAUUUAGAUGCUAUCCAUGUAAAUUGUUUGAUGUAUUGAAUACACUUUUUUGUCAUAGGUUAUCAAUUUAACACUGAACAUGUAGUAAGAUUAUUUGAA